rnacentral:rRNA from 1 species
UACAGAGGUCCCGAGCGUUGUUCGGAUUCAUUGGGCGUAAAGGGUGCGUAGGCGGUUUUCUAAGUUUGAUGUGAAAUCCCGGGGCUCAACCUUGGAAUUGCAUUGAAUACUGGGAGACUAGAGUACUGGAGAGGAAACUGGAAUUUACGGUGUAGCAGUGAAAUGCGUAGAGAUCGUAAGGAAGACCAGUGGCGAAGGCGAGUUUCUGGACAGUUACUGACGCUGAGGCACGAAGGCCAGGGGAGCAAACGGG